rnacentral:rRNA from 1 species
UACAGAGGUCCCAAGCGUUGUUCGGAUUCAUUGGGCGUAAAGGGUGUGUAGGUGGCGCCGUAAGUCGGGUGUGAAAUUUCGGAGCUUAACUCCGAAACUGCAUUCGAUACUGCGGUGCUUGAGGACUGGAGAGGAGACUGGAAUUCACGGUGUAGCAGUGAAAUGCGUAGAUAUCGUGAGGAAGACCAGUGGCGAAGGCGGAUCUCUGGACAAAUCCUGACGCUGAGGCGCGAAGGCUAGGGGAGCAAACGGG